GGCCUGAUAGCUCAAGUGGCAGAGCAAUGCACCGGCAUUGCAGAAGUCAGGGUUCGAGUCCCUUUCAGGCCU
rnacentral:tRNA from 1 species